CACUCAUUGCCCAUGUCAUGGAUUUAUGUAGGCACCUAGAAGCCCUGGCUGAGAUCAGAGACUUGUUGUGUGAAAUGUUGUACAAACACCCAGCAAGAGAUGGUCCCCGCCCCAAAGAACUUACAUGAUCAAUGAUUUGGAGAAUAUGAAGUGCACCCUCCAUAUGGGUACGUCUCUGCUCUGGACAUACGACUUUUCAAUCAC